GACGAACGCUGGCGGCGUGCCUAAUACAUGCAAGUCGUGCGGACCUUGUUGAAAGCUUGCUCUUAAAAGUUUAGCGGCGGACGGGUGAUAAACACGUGGGCAACCAGCCUUUAAGAUUGGGAUAACUCCGGGAAACCGGGGCUAAUACCAGAUCGUUUUUUCCUCCGCAUGGUGGAAAAAGGAAAGGCGGCUUCGUCUGCCACUUACAGAUGGCCCCGCGGCGUAUUAGCUAGUUGGCGGGGGAAUGGCCCAACAAAGCAACGAUGCGUCGGCCAACCGAGAGGGUGAACGGCCAAAUUGGGACUGGGACACGGCCCAAAACCCCACGGGAGGGAGCAGUAGGGAAUCUUCCGGCAAGGGCGGAAGGCUUGCGGAGCAACGCCGGGUGGGUGGAGGAAGCCUUCGGGUCGUAAAACUCUGUUGACGGGGAAGGACAAGAGGCGUACGAAAAGGGCGGCGCCUUGACGGUACCCAGCCAGAAAGCCACGGCUAACUACGUG
rnacentral:rRNA from 1 species